GCGUUUUUUGCCGCCCCCUGAAAAAUGCCGCCCAAGGCAAAUGCCUUGUUUGCCUCGUGGCUAAUACGUCCCUGACCACAACCACUGCAGUACGCUGUCACUCAUAGGAAAUUAUGCAGUCUAUAAUACCUGGAGAUUCUGACGUUUUGACCUAGAGAGCUUGGCAAACUGAUUUCUUUUUUAUUACAAAAAGCACAGAUCUGCCUUUAUCUGCACCUUUUGUCAUCCACACUUCUAACACAUUACAUUCCAUAUUCAAUUUAUGGCCUAUUUGGUUCUACUCACAGUUAACAAGGCGAUUCUGUGUUUUCUUUACAUGGAAUCCCCACUUUCUUUUUGCAUGAGGCAUCAAUGUUUUAGAAGUCCAUUAAUUUUUGCAUGCAAAUGCUCCAUAAACUUGAUAUGCAAUGAUCAGCCACAACAUUAACACCACUGACAGGUGAAGUGAAUAACAUUAAUUAUAUUGUUACCAUAGCACCUAUCUAGGGGUGGGAUAUAUUAGGCAGCAAGUAAACAGUCAGUUUGUGGAAUUUUAUGUGUUGGAAGCAGGAAAAAUGGACAAGCGAAAAGAUCUAAGUGAAAAGGCCAAAUCGUGAUGGCUAGAGAUGUGUCAGAGAAUCUCCAAACUGGCAACUCUUGUUAGGUGUUCCCGGUAUGUAGUGGUUACUACCUACCAGAAGUGGUGCAACAAAGGACAUAUUUGUGUUCAGUGAUGUCUCAAGUGUACAAUAUAUCCCCCAUGUAUGAGUUUUAUGGGAUUUUAGAAAGUUACAGGGUCAAAUAUAGGGCUUGGUUUUACACAUUAAAAUUGUCAGAUUGGUUUGCUGGGUCUAUGUUGCCUUUGAAACCAGAUAGCAGCCCAGAAAUGUGAAUUACCUCCAUUAUGGCAUACAAUGUGCAAACGUAGACAACCCAGGGUAUUCAAAAUGGGGUAUGGCCAGUCUUGUGGUAUCCACUUAGACACAAACCCUGGCCAAAGAUAGUUUUAAUAUUUGUUUUUUGCAUUUUAAACAAGUCGGUUGAAGUGUGCCGAAAACAGACGUAUGCGGUAGGCCUGUAAUAAAGAAGGGCCACCUUAGUUAUAAAAUAACAAAUGAAAUCGAGUUGAGGGAGUGGUGGGUGGAGCCUGCCGAACGUCAGAACCCACGGUGAUGCAGGUAAAGGGGGGAGGUGCUUAAAUAGGAUCAAAACGCCCCUCCCACAACUCCAGGCAAGCCUUUACAUUUGUGUUCGGUGCUAUUCUUGUAACGUAAACGUAUGUAUAGCAUGGUGUAAAUUAUAGAUAUGAACAAGUCGGUUGAAGUGUGCUGAAACGGACGUAUGCGGUAGGCC